GGAAAAAGAGAAAAUUGCAGAAUUUUUAGCAUUAAGUUGGAUGCAUGUUCUUAGCUUGGGACUUGAAUUUUAUUGUAGAGCUCUUCUUUAGCUUUCCGGAACAUCUUGAAUCGUCCCAAUCGGAGUUCAUAUGAAAAAGUUAUGAUAUUUUUACUAAACGAACGUUGAACCUCAAAGUUUGGAAGUUGUAAUGUACACA
rnacentral:lncRNA from 1 species